rnacentral:rRNA from 1 species
AACUUUCCUUCGGGAAAGAUAUAAAGUGGCGCACGGGUGAGUAACACGUAGGUAAUGUACCUUUGGGUGGGGAAUAACUUAGGGAAACUUAAGCUAAUACCGCAUAAUGCAGCGGCUCCUUCGGGAGACAGUUGUUAAAGAUUUAUCGCCUAAAGAGCAGCCUGCGGCAGAUUAGCUAGUUGGUAAGGUAACGGCUUACCAAGGCUACGAUCUGUAUCCGACCUGAGAGGGUGGUCGGACACACUGACACUGAAUAACGGGUCAGACUCCUACGGGAGGCAGCAGUCGGGAAUUUUGGGCAAUGGGCGAAAGCCUGACCCAGCAACGCCGCGUGAAGGAUGAAGUCUUUCGGGAUGUAAACUUCGUAAGAAUAGGAAGAAUAAAUGACGGUACUAUUUGUAAGGUCCGGCUAACUACGUGCCAGCAGCCGCGGUAAUACGUAGGGACCAAGCGUUGUUCGGAUUUACUGGGCGUAAAGGGCGCGUAGGCGGCAAUUCAAGUCAGUUGUGAAAUCUCCGAGCUUAACUCGGAACGGUCAACUGAUACUGCUUUGCUAGAGUACAGAAGGGGCAAUCGGAAUUCUUGGUGUAGCGGUGAAAUGCGUAGAUAUCAAGAGGAACACCUGAG